rnacentral:misc_RNA from 1 species
AACGCAUCUUGCGCUCUUGGGUUAUUCCUAAGAGCAUGCUUGUUUGAGUAACGGAAAAGCUCAACCCCGCUUUCUUUAUUGAGAGUAGAUCAGGGUUAGGAUCAUGACAGUUUGUGGGUUCGCAAGAGCCUACUCUGUCGAAAGACAAGCGGCCGAAACUUGAAAACAGUGCAAGCUCCGGCUAACUUAUUGUUGUAUAACUUUAUGUCUCGAUAGGUGCACUACCUCUUUCAAUCAAAGUAGGCUUUGACCAAAUAAUCUGCGAGACUUGAGGACGCAAGUCUUCACGUCUUUAGCUAACUUUUUAUUGCUUGUUCUCAAAUCAAGUAGGACUACCCGCUGAACUUAA